rnacentral:misc_RNA from 1 species
GCUUGGCAUUAACGUUGAAGUUUCCUGCAAUGUCGCAGGAAAGGUCAUAGAGAAGCCGCCUAACUAUUUGUAUAUAUAGAUAGUAAUUACAUUGGAAGGAAAAUUAUAGUCGUAAUAUUGGGAUUAUGUCUCAGUCUGGCUCUAAUUUUGCUGGUACUCCUGACAGCGACUAUGGCGAUCCGACGAACUUUGAGCUCUCAGAAUUCUUGAAGUUUGAUGAGUGGGAGGAAGAUGAUCAAUCAUUUCUGGCUUCUGGUUCUACCCAGAAUCCUGUUUAUCGAGCACAUGUAAUCGGUGAGUCAGGUGGAGCUACCAGCCCUCAUGGAGGGCCUAGUAUCGGUGAGCAAAACGUUGUCACUAAGCAGGAUGCAUGACAGAACUCUAGCCAUAUUAAUAGAUGUUAAUGACUUGAUAAUUGCAUAAUCCUGAAAACUUUUUCAUUAAUUUACUGUUGCAUGUAUAACCUUGGUUACUUGUCUCUCUGUCUGGUAUUGUUUUUACUAGGUGAGGGCAGGGAGAAAAAGGAAGUUAAAGAAAGGGUAGCAUUCAAGACAAAAUCAGAUGUUGAGAUACUAGAUGAUGGGUUCAAGUGGAGGAAGUAUGGCAAGAAGAUGGUCAAGAAUAGCCCAAACCCAAGGUAUAUAAUGAUUUUAUUUUCAUAGUGGUACCCGAUUCAUCAUCAGGGCCAUGAAGUCUCAAAUUCAAAUCUUAAUAAGAAUCAAUCGUAGAAAACACACAUAGCUCCAUCUUUGUGAUGACUAUAUUGUAUGUGAUUAGCAGAAAUUACUAUCGAUGCUCAGUUGAAGGCUGCCCUGUGAAGAAGAGAAUAGAAAGAGAUAGAGAGGAUAUAAGAUAUGUAAUAACAACGUAUGAGGGUAUCCACAAUCACCCAAGUUCUUCUUAAGCAUCAGGUUGCUUUCAGUUCAUUAUUGGGUUUCUGGCCAAAGUCCCGCUAUUUAUCAUUUUCUUAAGAUCAUAUGAUAUUAUAAUUAGUCCUUUUUUCUUGUAGGAGAUUACGAUGUGAAGAUUGAACUCAAAACUUUUAUAUGAUAUUAUAUUUGUGUAUCAAUUAAUUAAUAUAUAUACUUCAAUCAGAUACAGUAUGUAACUAAUUAAUUAGUCUUUAAAGACUAAUUUAGUUCAUGAUAAUUCCACUGCUACCUUCUUUUAAGCCCUCUAAUUAGCUCCAAGGACAACCACAA